rnacentral:rRNA from 1 species
AUUGAACGCUAGCGGCAGGCCUAACACAUGCAAGUCGAACGAGUGGCGGACGGGUGAGUAAUGUCUGGGAAACUGCCCGGUGGAGGGGGAUAACUACUGGAAACGGUAGCUAAUACCGCAUACCAUCAGAGGUGCCCAGAUGGGAUUAGCUAGUUGGUGGGGUAACGGCUCACCAAGGCGACGCUCCCUAGCUGGUUUGAGAGGACGAACAGCCACACGGUAACUGAGACACGGUCCAGACUCCUACGGGAGGCAGCAGUGGGGAAUAUUGCACAAUGUGCGAAAGCCUGAUGCAGCCAUUCCGCGUGUAUGAAGAAGGCCUUCGGGUUGUAAAGUACUUUCAGCGGGGAAGCGUUACCCGCAGAAGAAGCACCGGCUAACUCCGUGCCAGCAGCCGCGGUAAUUC